rnacentral:RNase_P_RNA from 1 species
UCAGCCGGCCGGGCAGCCGCUCCGCGUCAGCGGGGAGGAAAGUCCGGGCUCCAUGGAGAGGCGGUGCCGGAUAACCUCCGGCGGGGGCGACCCCAGGGACAGUGCCACAGAGAGCAGACCGCCCCGCAGGGACACGCGUCCUGUCGGGGUAAGGGUGAAAGGGUGCGGUAAGAGCGCACCGCGGACGCGGCAACGCGGACGGCACGGCAAACCCCACCGGGAGCAAAACCGAAUAGGGGCGACACGCCCUUCCCCGCGGGGGAGGGCAGGCCCGCUCUCCAGGCCCGUCGCCCGGGUUGGUUGCUCGAGGCGGUCGGCAACGGCCGUCCCAGAGGAAUGGCUGCCACGCUCGACAACUCUUCGAGUUGUUUGGGCCCUACAGAACCCGGCUUACAGGCCGGCUGAUCCA